rnacentral:rRNA from 1 species
GUCCUACGGGGGGCAGCAGCCGCGGUAAUACGUAGGGGGCAAGCGUUAUCCGGAUUUACUGGGUGUAAAGGGAGCGUAGGCGGCUGUGUAAGCCAGAAGUGAAAGCCCGAGGCUCAACCACGGGACUGCUUUUGGAACUACAUGGCUUGAUUGCAGGAGAGGCAAGUGGAAUUCCUAGUGUAGCGGUGAAAUGCGUAGAUAUUAGGAGGAACACCAGUGGCGAAGGCGGCUUGCUGGACUGUAAAUGACGCUGAGGCUCGAAAGCGUGGGGAGCAAACAGGAUUAGAUACCCUGGUAGUCCCUCA